rnacentral:rRNA from 1 species
GAUGAACGCUGGCGGCGUGCUUAACACAUGCAAGUCGAACGAAGCACUUAAACCUGAUUCUUCGGAUGAAGGUUUUUGUGACUGAGUGGCGGACGGGUGAGUAACGCGUGGGUAACCUGCCUCAUACAGGGGGAUAACAGUGAGAAAUGACUGCUAAUACCGCAUAAGACCACAGAGCCGCAGGGCGCAGUGGGAAAAACUCCGGUGGUAUGAGAUGGACCCGCGUCUGAUUAGGUAGUUGGUGGGGUAACGGCCUACCAAGCCAACGAUCAGUAGCCGACCUGAGAGGGUGACCGGCCACAUUGGGACUGAGACACGGCCCAAACUCCUACGGGAGGCAGCAGUGGGGAAUAUUGCACAAUGGGGGAAACCCUGAUGCAGCGACGCCGCGUGAGCGAAGAAGUAUUUCGGUAUGUAAAGCUCUAUCAGCAGGGAAGAAAAUGACGGUACCUGACUAAGAAGCACCGGCUAAAUACGUGCCGGCAGCCGCGGUAAAAC